UCGUGUGCCUCGCGAAAUUCGUUGUUUCGGCUGUGUGCCCCGCAACAUUCUCUGUUUUUAUGAAUAGACAUCGUCGGUCUGCAGCGAAGUGAGCCAGCCGAAUUCCCUGCCUGGUGUUUCAAGCCGCACGGCAGGAUCAGUGCGCAAGCUGCGCUCGCCCACCAAGCGGCCAGCUGUGCCAGGCUUCGGUGGGCUUCGAAGAAGUGUCAGCACUACUGACAUCAGAGAAAACCAG
rnacentral:lncRNA from 1 species